GAUGAACGCUGGCGGCGUGCCUAAUACAUGCAAGUAGAACGCUGAAGCUUGGUGCUUGCACCGAGCGGAUGAGUUGCGAACGGGUGAGUAACGCGUAGGUAACCUGCCUGGUAGCGGGGGAUAACUAUUGGAAACGAUAGCUAAUACCGCAUAACAGUAGAUAUUGCAUGAUAUCUGCUUGAAAGGUGCAAAUGCAUCACUACCAGAUGGACCUGCGUUGUAUUAGCUAGUUGGUGAGGUAACGGCUCACCAAGGCGACGAUACAUAGCCGACCUGAGAGGGGGGUGGGCAGAACUGGGAGUGAGACACGGCGGAGAGGCCAAGGGGAGGCAGCAGGAGGGAAUUUGCGGCAAUGGGUGGAACCCUGACAGAGCAACGAUGAGAGAGAGAAGAAGGUUUGCGGAUGGUAAAGCUCUGCUGUAAGAGAAGAACGAGAGAGAGAGUGGAAAAUUCACCCUGCGACGGUAUCUUAACAGAAAGGGAAGGCUAACUACGUG
rnacentral:rRNA from 1 species